rnacentral:rRNA from 1 species
GAGGUUAGCAGCCCCUUAUUCAUUAGGUACCGUCAUUGAUUCGUCCCUAAUAAAAGUACUUUACACCCCGAAGGGCGUCUUCAUACACGCGGCAUUGCUCCUUCAGCCUUUCGGCCAU